GAUGAACGCUGGCGGCGUGCCUAAUACAUGCAAGUCGAACGCAUAGCGAAAGUUGCUUGCACCUUUCAAGUGAGUGGCGACGGGGUGAUUAACACUUGGACAACCUGCCUCAAGGCUGGGGAUAACAUUUGGAAACAGAGGCUAAUACCGAAUAAAACUUAGUAUCGCAUGACACAAAGUUAAAAGUCGCUUCGGAGUCACCUAGAGAUGUAUCCCCGGUGCAUUAGUAAGUUGGUGGGGUAAAGGCCUACCAAGACAAUGAUGCAUAGCCGAGUGGAGAGGCUGAUCGGCCACAUUGGAACUGAGACCCGGCCCAACCUCCUACGGGAGGCUCCAGUAGGGAUUCUUCGACAAUGGGCGAAAGCCUGCUGGAGCAACGCCGCGUGUGUGAUGAAGGCUUUCGGUUCGUAAAGCCUUGUUGUAGGGGAAGAACAGCUAGAAUAGGAAAUGCUCUUAGUGUGACGGUACCAUACCAGAAAGGGACGGCUAACUACGUG
rnacentral:rRNA from 1 species